AGUGGCUGGCUACGGGGUCAUCCCAGCCGUCCACUGGGUCUGGCUCAAUGGAAGCUUCAGCUCUGCUGUCGUCCAGAUGAGUGAUCAGAUACCUGAAUUACAAUAUUAGUUGUUCCUGCCUCUUGAUGGUGAUGUAUUAGAUAGCUGGAGCUGAGUUCCUCUUUUACAUCGGUCAGAUGAACUACCUGGUUGCCAGCCAGCAGGUGUGACAUGUCCUGGUGGUGUUUAUGCUCUGCUUGUGGCACCAGACUUCUGUGUAUUUAAUGAACUUCAGGCACCACCAGCCCUGCCUCAUAGACUGGCCCAGCCAACAACCGAGCUGCCACAGACUCUACUGUAGCCACUCAAUGCAAACCAGACUACAACUGAACCUUUAACGUAACGUAACAAAAUGUGGAAAAAGUCAAGGGGUCUGAAAACUUUCCGAAUGCACUGUAUAUACUAAAAGGGACAUUUCAAUGU